rnacentral:lncRNA from 1 species
AUGCAAACUGCUGACCUCAAACCUAGAUCUAUAGACUUGGAAUUUCUGGAGGGAGGGACCCAAGAAUCUAUAAUUCUCGAGGAAUUCUUGUGAAUUCUAAAAUGGGAGAACUGAUUUAAAACUUCCUUACACUUGGAAACCGCAUGCCGAGUUGGACCCUGGGAGAGUAGCCCCCCUUUCCCCACUACCAUGGCUGUGAGCAGCCGGCGGGGAACAGCUGUACUGCAUGGUGGUAGCUUUACGACAUGUCCCUAAAUUCUUUGAUACUUCUCCCUUUAAAAAAUGCUUCCCUUUCUCUGAAAUAUGGGAAUACUUAAUGACUUGCUCCUAACAAACAAGAAUUGGCAGAAUGAUGGUGUGUGAUGCCCAAGAUUGGGACAUGAAAGGCAUUAUAGCUUCCUCUUUGCUUUCUCUCUUGGGCUGCUUGCCCCAGGGGAAGCCAGCCGCCAUAUCCGGGCUCCACUCAAGCAGCCCUGUGAAAAGCCCAAUGGCAAGGAACUGAGGCCUCCAGUCGCCAGCAGUGUGAGUGAGCCUGGUUGCUAUUGGAUCCCCCAGCCCUGAUGGAGCCUUCAGAUGACUGUAGCCCUGGCCAACAGCUUGAGCACAACCUCACGAGAGACUCCGAGCUAGAACCACCGAACUAAGCUGCUCCCAGAUUCCUGACCCACAGAAACUGUGAGAUAGUAAAUGUUUAUUUUAAACCACUAAGUUUUGGGGUGCUUUGUAACGCAGCAUUAGAUAAUGAAUAUAAGCACUGUCGUCACAGGUUCCAAUCCCAGCUCUACUUGGCAGUUCUGUGCCCUUAGCCAAGGCAUCUAACCCUUGAGGACCACUAGCUGCCUCCAACAGUAGAGGAAGCCACUGCUUGAUCCUACAUCCCUGGAAAGAACACCAACCUAGAGUCAGAUCCAGCGACUAGGGGGCCUCCCCAGAGGCCAGCCAGUUCCCUUGGGGGAAGAAACUAGAUCACAUUUCCUUCCAAACAUCUUCCGUCUUACACCUGACACAGGCUUUCAAACUCAAAAGUCAAGGUUUUGUCAACUUUAUUCUCUGCAAGGCAAUGGGCCCUGAUUCCAGCGGCCUGAGCACGAGGAAGGCCCUUAGGGUGUCUUCCGGCGUUUUGUCUGCAGUAAACGUUUUCCUGCCAAGAGCUUUUUCUGAAAGCAGAAUUGUCUCCUCAGGACAGAUUCCUGGGAGAGAAACGACGGGGUCAGAAGUUGUGGGCAUCUUUAUGGCUCUGGAUAUCCAUCCCUCAUCAAAGAUCAUGGUGACUUUUUUUAUUUUGAAUUGUGAUUCUUGUAGUUGAUGCUGUUAUUGUUACGAAAGGAUUAGAUGAUCGAUGUAGAAAACCUGGAAAAGUCGAAAGAUGCAAAUAAAAAUCUCCCGUAUUUCACCCACCUAAAUGGAAUCCUUAUCAGUAACGUGUUGGUGUAUCUUUUUCC